AAUCAACGCUGGCGGCGUGCCUCAGACAUGCAAGUCGAACGAUUAAAGCUCCCUUCGGGGAGUGCAUAAAGUGGCGCACGGGUGAGUAACACGUAAGUAAUCUACCCUCGGGUGGGGAAUAACGUCCGGAAACGGACGCUAAUACCGCAUAAUGCAGCGGCACCGCAAGGUGACAGUUGUUAAAGAUUUAUUGCCUGGGGAGGAGCUUGCGGCAGAUUAGCUUGUUGGUAAGGAACGGCUUACCAAGGCUACGAUCUGUAUCCGGUCUAAGAGGACGGUCGGACACACUGACACUGAAUAACGGGUCAGACUCCUACGGGAGGCAGC
rnacentral:rRNA from 1 species